CGCCGACGAGUGGCGGACGGGUGAGUAACGCGUAGGAAUCUACCUUGUAGUGGGGGAUAACCUGGGGAAACUCAGGGUAAUACCGCAUAAGCCUGAAAGGGGAAAGAAGGGGACCGUAAGGCCUUUCGUUAUAAGAUGAGCCUGCGUCGGAUUAGCUAGUUGGUGGGGUAAAGGCCUACCAAGGCGAAGAUCCGUAGCUGGUCUGAGAGGACGACCAGCCACACUGGGACUGAGACACGGCCCAG
rnacentral:rRNA from 1 species